AGCGGAAAGGCCCUUCGGGGUACUCGAGCGGCGAACGGGUGAGUAACACGUGAGUAAUCUGCCCCAGGCUCUGGGAUAGCCACCGGAAACGGUGAUUAAUACCGGAUACGACAACCGAUUGCAUGAUCUGGUUGUGGAAAGUUUUUCGGCCUGGGAUGUGCUCGCGGCCUAUCAGCUUGUUGGUGAGGUAAUGGCUCACCAAGGCUUCGACGGGUAGCCGGCCUGAGAGGGUGACCGGCCACACUGGGACUGAGACACGGCCCAGACUCCUACGGGAGGCAGCAGUGGGGAAUAUUGGACAAUGGGCGGAAGCCUGAUCCAGCAACGCCGCGUGAGGGAUGACGGCCUUCGGGUUGUAAACCUCUUUCAGCACAGACGAAGCGCAAGUGACGGUAUGUGCAGAAGAAGGACCGGCCAACUACGUGCCAGCAGCCGCGGUAAUACGUAGGGUCCGAGCGUUGUCCGGAAUUAUUGGGCGUAAAGGGCUCGUAGGCGGUCUGUCGCGUCGGGAGUGAAAACCAGGUGCUUAACACCUGGCCUGCUUUCGAUACGGGCAGACUAGAGGUACUCAGGGGAGAAUGGAAUUCCUGGUGUAGCGGUGAAAUGCGCAGAUAUCAGGAGGAACACCGGUGGCGAAGGCGGUUCUCUGGGAGUAUCCUGACGCUGAGGAGCGAAAGUGUGGGGAGCGAACAGGAUUAGAUACCCUGGUAGUCCACACCGUAAACGUUGGGCGCUAGGUGUGGGACACAUUCCACGUGUUCCGUGCCGCAGCUAACGCAUUAAGCGCCCCGCCUGGGGAGUACGGGCCGCAAGGCUAAAACUCAAAGGAAAUUGACGGGGGCCCGCACAAGCGGCGGAGCAUGCGGAUUAAUU
rnacentral:rRNA from 1 species